rnacentral:rRNA from 1 species
UCUUCGGAUUGUAAACCUCUUUCGAUGGGGAAGAAUUCAGACGGUACCUAGAGAAGAAGCCACGGCUAACUCCGUGCCAGCAGCCGCGGUAAUACGGAGGUGGCAAGCGUUACUCGGAUUUACUGGGUGUAAAGGGCAGGUAGGCGUCUCGAUAAGUUCUUGGUGAAAUCCUUCUGCUUAACAGAAGAACUGCCGAGAAAACUAUCGAGAUUGAGACUAGAAGAGGAGAGUGGAAUUCCCGGUGUAAGGGUGAAAUCUGUAGAUAUCGGGAGGAACACCAGAAGCGAAGGCGGCUCUCUGGGCUAGGCCUGACGCUGAACUGCGAAAGCUAGGGGAGCAAACAGAAUUAGAUACUCUGGUAGUCCUAGCCGUAAACGAUGAGCACUAGGUGUUGGCUCUGAAUAAGGGUCGGUGCCGUAAGAUAACUCGUUAAGUGCUCCACCUGGGGACUACGGCCGCAAGGCUAAAACUCAAAGGAAUUGACGGGGGCCCGCACAAGCGGUGGAACAUGUGGUUCAAUUCGACGAUACGCGAAGAACCUCACCAGGGCUU